AGAGUUGUAUCCUGGCUCAGGAUGAACGCUGGCGGUAUGCUUUACACAUGCAAGUCGUACGAGAGUUUUGAACUCAAGUGGCGGACGGGUGAGUAACACGUAAGAAUUUACCUUUAGGAGGGGGACAACAACUAGAAAUGGUUGCUAAUACCCCAUAUGCUUUCGAGUGAAAUGGAUUUCCGCCUAAAGAGAAGCUUGCGGCUGAUUAGCUUGUUGGUAAGGUAAUGGCUUACCAAGGCGACGAUCAGUAUCUGGUUUGAGAGGACGAUCAGACACACUGGAACUGAGACACGGUCCAGACUCCUACGGGAGGCAGCAGUGGGGAAUUUUCCGCAAUGGGCGAAAGCCUGACGGAGCAACGCCGCGUGAGGGAUGAAGGCCUCUGGGCUGUAAACCUCUUUUAUCAAGGAAGAAGAUCUGACGGUACUUGAUGAAUAAGCCACGGCUAAUUCCGUGCCAGCAGCCGCGGUAAUACGGGAGUGGCAAGCGUUAUCCGGAAUUAUUGGGCGUAAAGCGUCCGCAGGCGGUCUGUCAAGUCUGCUGUUAAAGCGUGGAGCUUAACUCCAUUUCGGCAGUGGAAACUGACAGACUAGAGUGUGGUAGGGGCAGAGGGAAUUCCCGGUGUAGCGGUGAAAUGCGUAGAUAUCGGGAAGAACACCAGUGGCGAAGGCGCUCUGCU
rnacentral:rRNA from 1 species